CCUACGGGAGGCAGCAGUGAGGAAUAUUGGUCAAUGGGCGCGAGCCUGAACCAGCCACGUAGCGUGAAGGAUGACUGCCCUAUGGGUUGUAAACUUCUUUUAUAUGGGAAUAAAACGUUCCACGUGUGGGAUUUUGUAUGUACCAUAUGAAUAAGGAUCGGCUAACUCCGUGCCAGCAGCCGCGGUAAUACGGAGGAUCCGAGCGGUCUCCGGAUUGAUUGGGGGUAAAGGGAGCGUAGGUGGAUUGUUAAGUCAGGUGUGAAAGUUUGCGGCUCAACCGUAAAAUUGCAGUUGAAACUGGCAGUCUUGAGUACAGUAGAGGUGGGCGGAAUUCGUGGUGUAGCGGUGAAAUGCUUAGAUAUCACGAAGAACACCGAUUGCGAAGGCAGUUCACUGGACUGCAACUGACACUGAGGCUCGAAAGUGUGGGUAUCAAACAGGAUUAGAGACCCUUGUAGUC
rnacentral:rRNA from 1 species